rnacentral:rRNA from 1 species
UACGUAGGGGGCGAGCGUUAUCCGGAUUUACUGGGUGUAAAGGGAGCGUAGACGGCGUCGCAAGUCUGAAGUGAAAGCCCGUGGCUCAACCGCGGAACCGCUUUGGAAACUGCGUGGCUGGAGUGCUGGAGAGGUAAGCGGAAUUCCUGGUGUAGCGGUGAAAUGCGUAGAUAUCAGGAGGAACACCGGUGGCGAAGGCGGCUUACUGGACAGUGACUGACGUUGAGGCUCGAAAGCGUGGGGAGCGAACAGG